rnacentral:rRNA from 1 species
UGCAGUCGAGGGGCAGCAGGUUUGUAGCAAUACAAAUGCUGGCGACCGGCAAACGGGUGCGGAACACGUACAGAACCUUCCUUUAAGUGGGGGAUAGCCCAGGGAAACUUGGAUUAAUACCCCGUAAUAUAUAGAAGUGGCAUCACUUUUAUAUUAUAGCUCAGGCGCUUGAAGAUGGCUGUGCGGCUGAUUAGGUAGUUGGCGGGGUAACGGCCCACCAAGCCUGCGAUCAGUAACUGGUGUGAGAGCACGACCAGUCACACGGGCACUGAGACACGGGCCCGACUCCUACGGGAGGCAGCAGUAAGGAAUAUUGGGCAAUGGACGCAAGUCUGACCCAGCUAUGCCGCGUGGAGGAUGAAGGUCCUCUGGAUUGUAAACUUCUUUUAUCUGGGAAGAAACCUAUUUUUUCUAAAAUAGCUGACGGUACCAGGUGAAUAAGCACCGGCUAACUCCGUGCCAGCAGCCGCGGUAAUACGGAGGGUGCAAGCGUUAUCCGGAUUCACUGGGUUUAAAGGGUGCGUAGGUGGGUUGGUAAGUCAGUGGUGAAAUC